AUUGAACGCUGGCGGCAGGCCUAACACAUGCAAGUCGAGCGAGCGGCGGACGGGUGAGUAAUGUAUGGGGACUCCCCGAUAGAGGGGGAUAACUACUGGAAACGGUAGCUAUUACCGCAUACUAUCGGGUAGCCCAUAUGGGAUUAGCUAGUAGGUGGGGUAAUGGCUCACCUAGGCGACGAUCCCUAGCUGGUCUGAGAGGAUGAUCAGCCACACUGGGACUGAGACACGGCCCAGACUCCUACGGAGGCAGCAGUGGGGAAUAUUGCACAAUGGGCGCAAGCCUGAUGCAGCCAUGCCGCGUGUAUGAAGAAGGCCCUAGGGUUGUAAAGUACUUUCAGUCGGGAGGCGUUACCGACAGAAGAAGCACCGGCUAACUCCGUGCCAGCCGCCGCGGUAAUUC
rnacentral:rRNA from 1 species